UACGGAGGGUGCAAGCAUUAAUCGGAUUUAUUGGGCGUAAAGGGCGUCUAGGCGGGAACGAAAGUCAGAUGUGAAAUUUCGGGGCUCAACCCCGAAGCGGCAUUUGAAACUUCGUUUCUUGAGGGUAGUUGGAGAAAGUAGAAUUCCACAAGUAGCGGUGAAAUGCGUAGAUAUGUGGAAGAAUACCGGUGGCGAAGGCGACUUUCUAAAUUAUUCCUGACGCUGAAGCGCGAAAGCAAGGGGAGCAAACAGG
rnacentral:misc_RNA from 1 species